rnacentral:rRNA from 1 species
UGUCGUGCCAGCAGCCGCGGUAAUACAGAGGGUGCAAGCGUUAAUCGGAAUUACUGGGCGUAAAGCGCGCGUAGGUGGUUAGUUAAGUUGGAUGUGAAAUCCCCGGGCUCAACCUGGGAACUGCAUUCAAAACUGACUGACUAGAGUAUGGUAGAGGGUGGUGGAAUUUCCUGUGUAGCGGUGAAAUGCGUAGAUAUAGGAAGGAACACCAGUGGCGAAGGCGACCACCUGGACUGAUACUGACACUGAGGUGCGAAAGCGUGGGGAG